rnacentral:lncRNA from 1 species
CUGCCUCAACCCAUAGAGAGAUUUUUUCAACUUACAGACAAGAGGAGGAGAUGCAGAGGAAACAGAAUCAGAAGAAGAGACAGAAACAGAUAAACCUGGAGGAAGCUUCAUAUAAACCUCCUCAUCCAAAUCACCAUGUAAGAAAGCAUUGUUAACAUCAAGUUGGAAAAGUUUCCAAUGCUUCUUAACAGCCACUGCAAUAAGACACUUCACAGUAGACAUUUUAACCACUAGAGAAAAAGUGUCAGUGAAAUCAACCCCUUCAAUUUGAGUAUCCUCUCUAAUAACAAGUCUAGCUUUGUACCUUUCAACACUACCAUCAGCCUUAUAUUUGAUCUUAUAAACCCAUUUGCAGCCAAUGGGUUUCUUUGUAUCUUUCAGCACUACCAUCAGCCUUAUAUUUGAUCUUAUAAACCCAUUUGCAGCCAAUAGGUUUCUUACCAGAAGGAAGGGGAACAACAUCCCAGGUACAGUUGGCAUCCAAAGCAUAGAACUCCUUUCUCAUGGCAUCCUGCCAUACUAGAACUGAUGCAGCUUGAGAGUAAUA